AAAGUAUAACCUCUGUCCCGUAUUAGAUGACUCGAAAUUGUCUAGAUACGGAUGUACUUAGACACGUUUUUUUGUGUUAGAUACAUCUUUAUCUAGACAAAUAUAAGCCAACUAAUUUGGGACGGAGGGAGUAGUUG
rnacentral:pre_miRNA from 1 species